UAAUUACUCCCUCCGUCCGAAAAUACUUGUCAUCAAAAUUGAUAAAAAAGGGAUGUAUCUAGAACUAAAAUACAUCUAGAUACAUCCCCUUUUAUCCAUUUUGAUGACAAGUAUUUCCGGAUGGAGGGAGUACGUA
rnacentral:pre_miRNA from 1 species